GGCCUCGCUGAGGCGAUUUUCUUGUUCGACGGGCGACUCAUCCAUCUCCCGUGCGCCUCCUCCUCGCAGACGGCGACAGCGCCUGCGCGCGCCGCCUCCCUCUCGCCAGCGGCUCGCCAGCGGCGGCGACGGCGGUUGCCUCUCCAAGCCCCCAGGCAGACCACCAUUUGUUGGUUCCUCCAUACUUCACCCUGCACUCCGGUUCGCAGUUUCAUUUGUCAAGAUGUCACAGACGAAGGAAGUGAGAUACACUGCACGGUCUAUUACACCUCCUGCAGAUAGAAAUGGAACUUCAAGGUCGCCUCCUCCAAAGAGACGCAGCCCUUCAAGGUCGCCUCCUCCAAAGAGUACCUCAAGGUCUCCACGUCCAAGAAGUCCUAAACGGCGGAGCACCUCAAGGUCACCUCCUCCUAGGAGACGUGGUAGAUCGAGGUCAAGGUCAAGGGAUAGGAGUCGAUCCAGGAGCGAAGAUGAUAGAAAUCCAGGGAAUAACCUUUAUGUGACUGGAUUGUCUACUCGUGUAACUGAAGAUGAUCUCGAGAAGUUUUUUAAUAAAGAAGGAAAGGUUAAAAACUGUCAUGUUGUUCUCGAUCCUCGCACAAAAGAAUCCCGUGGCUUUGCCUUUGUGACUAUGGAUACUGUUGAAGAUGCAAGACGCUGCAUCAAGUACCUGCACCGCACUGUACUUGAAGGUCGUCUGGUCACUGUAGAGAAGUUUAUAACAUGGUGCUGGGCUGCCUCGACGUCAACCUGGUUGGUUCAGGCUGUGCUGUCUUCGACCAUGGUUGUCGCCAAGGGAUGUGCAGCUGAUGUGGUGGUGCUUAUCACCAACCCCAGAGCUCAUCUUCACUGCUUGUCGUCCACACCUUCCUCACCGACAUUGCAUACCCACUACAUCAACGCAAGGGUUGCCACCAUAGAGCGACCUUGGAGUCUUGUUGUGCACUAUGCCACCAUCACCGCCAGCACGAUCGCCACCGCCACUGCGUCCGCCACCACGACCACAACCGCCAUCGUCAACGUCGCCCGCAUGAUCCAACAGGCUCCAUGGUUUGUCUACGUCGACUGAGCUUAUGUGGUGCAUGCUGCUGCCAUGUCACGACACCAACUGCCGAGCUAGCCUGCAUCGAUGCUAUCUUCAUCCACAACAGGAUCCCGAUUUGAUGGAGGUCACAAGAGGCAUAAUCUGGCUCUUCCUUGGAGAAAGCUACACCGACCACGGGAAAGUGCAAAAAAGUGUCAUCUUUGGUUGAGCUACGCUAAAAGGACUCGAGAAAGGACCCCUACUCCUGGAAAAUACUGUGGUCGAAGAGGAGGAUCUCAAAGGCGCUCUAGGAGCCCAUCACCAUACCGUUCUCGCAGAAGGGAGCGGUCUCGUUCAAGGGACCGCAAAAGGGAGC